UCCGGUUUAUCACCGGCAGUCUCCACAGAGUUCUCGGCUCUACCCGUUAGUAACUGUGAACAAGGGUUGCGCUCGUUGCGGGACUUAACCCAACAUCUCACGGACAUGUCAAGCCCAGGUAAGGUUCUUCGCGUUGCGUCGAAUUAAACCACAUGCUCCGCUGCUUGUGCGGGCCCCCGUCAAUUCCUUUGAGUUUUAGCCUUGCGGCCGUACUCCCCAGGCGGGGCACUUAAUGCGUUAGCUACGGCGCCGGGGGAGUCGACACCCCCAACACCUAGUGCCCAUCGUUUACGGCGUGGACUAC
rnacentral:misc_RNA from 1 species